CAGGAUUAGAUACCCUGGUAGUCCACGCAGUAAACGAUGAUAACUCGUUGUCGGCGAUACAAUGUCGGUGACUAAGCGAAAGCGAUAAGUUAUCCACCUGGGGAGUACGUUCGCAAGAAUGAAACUCAAAGGAAUUGACGGGGGCCCGCACAAGCGGAGGAACAUGUGGUUUAAUUCGAUGAUACGCGAGGAACCUUACCCGGGCUUGAAAGUUAGUGACGGACUUGGAAACAAGUCUUCCCUUCGGGGCACGAAACUAGGUGCUGCAUGGUUGUCGUCAGCUCGUGCCGUGAGGUGUCGGGUUAAGUCCCAUAACGAGCGCAACCCCUACUGAUAGUUGCCAUCAGGUACAAGCUGGGCACUCUAUCGGGACUGCCGGUGUAAGCCGAGAGGAAGGUGGGGAUGACGUCAAAUCAGCACGGCCCUUACGUCCGGGGCUACACACGUGUUACAAUGGUAGGUACAGAGGGCAGCUACCCUGCGAAGGGAUGCGAAUCUCGAAAGCCUAUCUCAGUUCGGAUUGGAGGCUGAAACCCGCCUCCAUGAAGUUGGAUUCGCUAGUAAUCGCGCAUCAGCCAUGGCGCGGUGAAUACGUUCCCGGGCCUUGUACACACCGCCCGUCAAGCCAUGGAAGCUGGGGGUGCCUGAAGUUCGUGACCGCAAGGAGCGCCCUAGGGCAAAACCGGUAACUGGGGCUAAGUCGUAACAAGGUAGCCGUACCGGAAGGUGCGGCUG
rnacentral:rRNA from 1 species